rnacentral:rRNA from 1 species
AAGUCGAGCGGUAACAUUUCUAGCUUGCUAGAAGAUGACGAGCGGCGGACGGGUGAGUAAUGCUUGGGAAUAUGCCUUAUGGUGGGGGACAACAGUUGGAAACGACUGCUAAUACCGCAUAAUGUCUACGGACCAAAGGGGGGGAUCUUCGGACCUCUCGCCAUUUGAUUAGCCCAAGUGAGAUUAGCUAGUUGGUGAGGUAAUGGCUCACCAAGGCGACGAUCUCUAGCUGGUUUGAGAGGAUGAUCAGCCACACUGGGACUGAGACACGGCCCAGACUCCUACGGGAGGCAGCAGUGGGGAAUAUUGCACAAUGGGCGCAAGCCUGAUGCAGCCAUGCCGCGUGUGUGAAGAAGGCCUUCGGGUUGUAAAGCACUUUCAGUAAGGAGGAAAGGGAUGUAGUUAAUAGCUGCAUUCUGUGACGUUACUUACAGAAGAAGCACCGGCUAACUUCGUGCCAGCAGCCGCGGUAAUACGAGGGGUGCAAGCGUUAAUCGGAAUUACUGGGCGUAAAGCGUUCGUAGGCGGUUGAUUAAGCAAGAUGCGAAAGCCCAGGGCUCAACCUUGGAACUGCAUUUUGAACUGGUCAACUAGAGUACUGUAGAGGGUGGUGGAAUUUC